rnacentral:rRNA from 1 species
AGCGAACGCUGGCGGCAGGCCUAACACAUGCAAGUCGAACGAACCCUUCGGGGUUAGUGGCGGACGGGUGAGUAACACGUGGGAACGUGCCUUUAGGUUCGGAAUAACUCAGGGAAACUUGUGCUAAUACCGGAUGUGCCCUUCGGGGGAAAGAUUAUCGCCUUUAGAGCGGCCCGCGUCUGAUUAGCUAGUUGGUGAGGUAAUGGCUCACCAAGGCUACGAUCAGUAGCUGGUCUGAGAGGAUGACCAGCCACAUUGGGACUGAGACACGGCCCAAACUCCUACGGGAGGCAGCAGUGGGGAAUCUUGCGCAAUGGGCGAAAGCCUGACGCAGCCAUGCCGCGUGGAUGAUGAAGGUCUUAGGAUUGUAAAAUCCUUUCACCGGUGAAGAUAAUGACUGUAGCCGGAGAAGAAGCCCCGGCUAACUUCGUGCCAGCCGCCGCCGUAAUAC